rnacentral:rRNA from 1 species
GACUCUGGGAUAAGCGCUGGAAACGGCGUCUAAUACUGGAUAUGUGACGUGACCGCAUGGUCUGCGUUUGGAAAGAUUUUUCGGUUGGGGAUGGGCUCGCGGCCUAUCAGCUUGUUGGUGAGGUAAUGGCUCACCAAGGCGUCGACGGGUAGCCGGCCUGAGAGGGUGACCGGCCACACUGGGACUGAGACACGGCCCAGACUCCUACGGGAGGCAGCAGUGGGGAAUAUUGCACAAUGGGCGAAAGCCUGAUGCAGCAACGCCGCGUGAGGGAUGACGGCCUUCGGGUUGUAAACCUCUUUUAGCAGGGAAGAAGCGAAAGUGACGGUACCUGCAGAAAAAGCGCCGGCUAACUACGUGCCAGCAGCCGCGGUAAUACGUAGGGCGCAAGCGUUAUCCGGAAUUAUUGGGCGUAAAGAGCUCGUAGGCGGUUUGUCGCGUCUGCUGUGAAAUCCCGAGGCUCAACCUCGGGCCUGCAGUGGGUACGGGCAGACUAGAGUGCGGUAGGGGAGAUUGGAAUUCCUGGUGUAGCGGUGGAAUGCGCAGAUAUCAGGAGGAACACCGAUGGCGAAGGCAGAUCUCUGGGCCGUAACUGACGCUGAGGAGCGAAAGGGUGGGGAGCAAACAGGCUUAGAUACCCUGGUAGUCCACCCCGUAAACGUUGGGAACUAGUUGUGGGGUCCAUUCCACGGAUUCCGUGACGCAGCUAACGCAUUAAGUUCCCCGCCUGGGGAGUACGGCCGCAAGGCUAAAACUCAAAGGAAUUGACGGGGACCCGCACAAGCGGCGGAGCAUGCGGAUUAAUUCGAUGCAACGCGAAGAACCUUACCAAGGCUUGACAUAUACGAGAACGGGCCAGAAAUGGUCAACUCUUUGGACACUCGUAAACAGGUGGUGCAUGGUUGUC